AAUCAACGCUGGCGGCGUGCCUAACACAUGCAAGUCGCACGAGAAAGGGACUUCGGUCCUGAGUAAAGUGGCGCACGGGUGAGUAACACGUGACUAAUCUACCCUCGAGUGGGGAAUAACCUAGGGAAACCUGGGCUAAUACCGCAUAACACUUACGAGUCAAAGCAGCAAUGCGCUUGGGGAGGAGGUCGCGGCAGAUUAGCUAGUUGGUGGGGUAAUGGCCCACCAAGGCGAUGAUCUGUAUCCGGCCUGAGAGGGCGCACGGACACACUGGAACUGAAACACGGUCCAGACUCCUACGGGAGGCAGCAGUGGGGAAUUUUGCGCAAUGGGGGAAACCCUGACGCAGCAACGCCGCGUGGAGGAUGAAGUCUCUUGGGACGUAAACUCCUUUCGACAGGGACGAUAAUGACGGUACCUGUAGAAGAAGCCCCGGCUAACUUCGUGCCAGCCGCCGCGGUAAC
rnacentral:rRNA from 1 species